rnacentral:lncRNA from 1 species
GCGGGUGCUCCUCUCCCAGAGCUCACCAGUCCUUCCAGCAGUCCUCAGGUUGCACGCGACCAGCAGUGGACUUUACUGAGUAGGGGUGGGAAGCCGGUGGCUCCGGGCAGCCGUGAUAACCCGGCACAGAAGCAGAGUCGCAUUUCGGAGCGUCCACCCGUAACCUGGCUUCUCGCACAUGGAGCCCAUAGUCCAGGAGAGAGAAGGCCAGGGCGGCCCUGGAGAGGUUGUAGGUGCAGGCGGAUCGGCGGCGGAGACCCCUUCGUGCUCAGGAAGGCACUGUGAGCUGCAUGGAGCUGAACCCCUUUCCCAGACAGUAGAGUCUCCCCUCCCCCUCCGGGGACCUUUACCUGUCACCUCCUGAAGGAUCGAACAGGGAUUGUCCACUAAAGUAGCCUUAGGUACCAUUUGUCUAGGGCACGCUGGCUGGGCCUCAGAACUUAGUACUCUGGGCCAUUGAGCUGUCCAUGGAGAACAGGGAGCAUCACUUUUAUGUAGGGAUUGUGCCCGGGGCUGGGGCAUGGGCUGGAGCUAAUGUCCACAGGCAGUGCCAGCAAUAUGCCAAAUGCACCAAGCACCAAGGCAAAGCCACAAGGCUGCAGAUGACUUCUUUCAGGCAACUCAGUUUUGUGCUAGACCUCAAUAGACUUUCUUUUGUCAGGACCAUGCAAAGAGUGGAACACCAGCUAUUCAAGGGUGUAGAUGAAAGUUGCUCCCCAAAACUAAGAGUUGUGUGAGUUACAUUUAGACCCUGCAUCCAAAGGUUUAUUAAGAUAACCUAAAAUGCCUUUGAGAUGACAAACGUUAGGACUCAUCAUUUUACUUAGAUUUGCCUCCUACCGUUAUAAUUUUAGGCUCCCUCAUAAUCCUACUAACAUUCUAUUCUCUCUGUACUAUUUUUUCUUUCAUUCAACAAUAUCGUUUCAUCCUGGCCAAGUUCUUUCCUCUCUUCCUUCCCAGCAUGCACUUGGUUCUGCUGUAGACUCCACUCUCUUCAGUACCACAACAGGACUACUUAUUCCUUAGGCGAUGUACAGCCAAACAAGGUGACUAGCUGCCUGCCAGGAGACCUUAUUAAAAGAUUUCAUUUCUUCGCAUCCAGGUAACUUACCCACGAAAACUAAUUCUUCCUUUUGUUCUUCUUCUUCUUCUUGAAUUUUAGUUAUAUGUAUAUUGGAGUUUUGACUUAUAUAUGUCUACAUAAACCUUUGGAGCCUUGGAACCCUUGAAACAGGAGUUACAGACAUGAGCUGCCAUGUGGGUGCUGGGAAUUGAACCCAGAUCCUCUGGAGGAACAGCCAGUGCUCUUGAGUCAUCUUUCCAGCCCCUGGAAUAUUUUUCAAGACAUUUCUCAUCUGUGCCUUAAAGACUAAUAGAACUGUAACUUAUAAGUGUAACUGAAAGGGCAUUUUUUUUCCCUUGAAGAAAUGCUUAUCGAAUAAGGAAAUCAAUAGUCUAAAGGUGAUUAAAAUAUUAAUUUAUGCAAAAGAGGCUCAUGUUUAUGAAAGUUUUCAUUUGCUGCAUCAUAGUAUUCAAGAAGUUCUGGAGAGGGCUGGCGAGAUGGCUCAGUGGUUAAGGGUGCUGACUGUUCUUCUGAAGGUCCUGAGUUCAAAUCCCAGCAACCACAUGGUGGCUCACAACCAUCUGUAAUGAGAUCUGAUGCCCUCUUCUGGAGUCUCUGAAGACAGCUACAGUGUACUUACAUAUAAUGAAUAAAUAAAUCUUUAAAAAAAAAAAAAGGAAGUUCUGGAGAAUUUCAGAUUUUCAAGAUUAGGGACAUUUAAUCUUUUGGUUUUCUACUUUUUGCUUACUUUGGAGAUUUUUGGUAGGAUUACUUUCUAAUACUUCCACAUCUGGGGAUGAGUGGUGUUGCAAUAUAUUGCCUGUACCUGUCACUAACUCCAAGGCACAAGCAAUUCUCCAGCCCCAUCAUAUGCUGGAAUUACAGAAUUGUGACUUCAUAUCUUCUACCUAUAUUUGAUAAGACUUUGGAUUUACAGUUUGACAGUGAGAUGGGAUAAGAAUUUGAGGGCUGUCAAAACACACACACACACACACACACACACACAAGAAAUUAGAAUUCUGGAGAGCAGAGUGUUAUGGAUUGAAUUACGUUCCUUUAGAACUUAUAUGUCGGCCUGGUAUAGUGGCACAUAUCUGCAAUGUCAGCACUUGGGAGAUAGAGGUAGGAAAAUUACAAAUUCAAGACCAUGCUUGAUAUAUAUAUAUAUCAAAGUCACUGUGUGUGUAUAUAUAUACACACACACACACACACAGUGAGUUUGAGGCCAGGCUUGGCUACAUGAAGCUUUGCUUCUAAAUAAAUUAAUUAAAUUAGUAAAUAAGC